AUGUCUCCGUUGUAUUCCAAUUACUAUUUCAUUAGCAAGAAUCACUUUUUCUCCUUGCUUUUCAGCUUUAUCUACUGUGAAAAGGAUGCAACAUUUGUCAGUGCAAGGGGACUUCUCUCAAGCAGUCCUUUAAGGAGAGAAAUAGAACCUUCAUCAGCAGUACAGAAUCUCGAAGAAGUAAUGUAUUGUUUUCUUGAAAGCCCCGAAGCUAAGCAAUUCCAAGAAUGUUUGGCAAAGACCUUUGGAGAAGAGUGAGGUGGGGGCGGGCGCGCGCGCGGCGGAAGAGAGCGAAAGAAGAGUGUGAGAAUUUUUUUUUUGUCUCAGGUCCUUUAAGGAGAGAAAUAGAACCUUCAUCAGCAGUACAGAAUCUCGAAGAAGUAAUGUAUUGUUUUCUUGAAAGCCCCGAAGCUAAGCAAUUCCAAGAAUGUUUGGCAAAGACCUUUGGAGAAGAGUGAGGUGGGGGCGGGCGCGCGCGCGGCGC
rnacentral:lncRNA from 1 species